UACGGAGGGGGCAAGCGUUGUUCGGAAUUACUGGGCGUAAAGGGCGCGCAGGCGGCUGCUCAAGUCAGGCGUGAAAGGCCUGGGCUCAACCCGGGAAUUGCGCUUGUGACUGGCGUGCUGGAGUGUGGCAGAGGGAGGUGGAAUUCCACGUGUAGCAGUGAAAUGCGUAGAGAUGUGGAGGAACACCGAUGGCGAAGGCAGCCUCCUGGGCCAGCACUGGCGCUCAUGCACGAAAGCGUGGGGAGCAAACAGG
rnacentral:rRNA from 1 species